rnacentral:rRNA from 1 species
GUGGGGAAUCUUGCGCAAUGGGGGCAACCCUGACGCAGCGACGCCGCGUGAGUGAUGAAGGCCUUCGGGUUGUAAAGCUCUGUGGAGGGAGACGAAUAAGCCAUGGCCAAUAUCCAUGGUGAUGACGGUAUCCCUUUAGCAAGCACCGGCUAACUCUGUGCCAGCAGCCGCGGUAAGACAGAGGGUGCAAACGUUGUUCGGAAUUACUGGGCGUAAAGCGCGUGUAGGCUGCUCUGCAAGUCAGGUGUGAAAGCCCUGGGCUCAACCUAGGAAGUGCACUUGAAACUGCGGAGCUUGAAUGUCGGAGAGGGCAGCGGAAUUCUCGGUGUAGAGGUGAAAUUCGUAGAUAUCGAGAGGAACACCGGUGGCGAAGGCGGCUGCCUGGACGACUAUUGACGCUGAGACGCGAAAGCGUGGGGAGCAAACAGGAUUAGAAACCCCGGUAGUCC